AGUGAACGCUGGCGGUAGGCCUAACACAUGCAAGUCGAACGGCAGCACAGUAAGAGCUUGCUCUUACGGGUGGCGAGUGGCGGACGGGUGAGGAAUACAUCGGAAUCUACUUUUUCGUGGGGGAUAACGUAGGGAAACUUACGCUAAUACCGCAUACGACCUACGGGUGAAAGCAGGGGAUCUUCGGACCUUGCGCGAUUGGAUGAGCCGAUGUCGGAUUAGCUAGUUGGCGGGGUAAAGGCCCACCAAGGCGACGAUCCGUAGCUGGUCUGAGAGGAUGAUCAGCCACACUGGAACUGAGACACGGUCCAGACUCCUACGGGAGGCAGCAGUGGGGAAUAUUGGACAAUGGGCGCAAGCCUGAUCCAGCCAUACCGCGUGGGUGAAGAAGGCCUUCGGGUUGUAAAGCCCUUUUGUUGGGAAGGAAAAGCAGCAGGUUAAUACCCCGCUGUUCUGACGGUACCCAAAGAAUAAGCACCGGCUAACUUCGUG
rnacentral:rRNA from 1 species